UACGUAGGGGGCAAGCGUUGUCCGGAUUCAUUGGGCGUAAAGAGCGUGUAGGCGGCCAGAUAGGUCAGCUGUGAAAACUCGGGGCUCAACCCUGAGACGUCGGUUGAAACCAUCUGGCUAGAGUCCGGAAGAGGAGAGUGGAAUUCCUGGUGUAGCGGUGAAAUGCGCAGAUAUCAGGAAGAACACCCGUGGCGAAAGCGGCUCUCUGGAACGGUACUGACGCUGAGACGCGAAAGCGUGGGGAGCGAACAGG
rnacentral:rRNA from 1 species